rnacentral:rRNA from 1 species
UACGAAGGGUGCAAACGUUGCUCGGAAUUAUUGGGCGUAAAGCGCACGUAGGCGGCAUUGCAAGUCGGAUGUGAAAUCCCUCGGCUUAACCAAGGAAGUGCAUCCGAAACUGCAGUGCUUGAGUACUUAAGAGGAUCGCGGAAUUCCCGGUGUAGAGGUGAAAUUCGUAGAUAUCGGGAAGAACACCAGUGGCGAAGGCGGCGAUCUGGGAAGAUACUGACGCUGAGGUGCGAAAGCGUGGGGAGCAAACAGG